GACGAACGCUGGCGGCGUGCCUAAUACAUGCAAGUAGAACGCUGAAGAAAGGAGCUUGCUUCUUUUGGAUGAGUUGCGAACGGGUGAGUAACGCGUAGGUAACCUGCCUUGUAGCGGGGGAUAACUAUUGGAAACGAUAGCUAAUACCGCAUAACAGCUUUUGACACAUGUUAGAAGCUUGAAAGAUGCAAUUGCAUCACUACGAGAUGGACCUGCGUUGUAUUAGCUAGUAGGUAGGGUAACGGCCUACCUAGGCGACGAUACAUAGCCGACCUGAGAGGGUGAUCGGCCACACUGGGACUGAGACACGGCCCAGACUCCUACGGGAGGCAGCAGUAGGGAAUCUUCGGCAAUGGGGGCAACCCUGACCGAGCAACGCCGCGUGAGUGAAGAAGGUUUUCGGAUAGUAAAGCUCUGUUGUAAGAGAAGAAUGUGUGUGAGAGUGGAAAGUUCACACAGUGACGGUAACUUACCAGAAAGGGACGGCUAACUACGUGCCAGCAGCCGCGGUAAUACGUAGGUCCCGAGCGUUGUCCGGAUUUAUUGGGCGUAAAGCGAGCGCAGGCGGUUUAAUAAGUCUGAAGUUAAAGGCAGUGGCUUAACCAUUGUUCGCUUUGGAAACUGUUAAACUUGAGUGCAGAAG
rnacentral:rRNA from 1 species